GGAGCUGAAGAAUAGUUGGGGAGAAGCAAGGCGCUGCUGUGUUUAGCUGAGGGUAGAGCAGGGCAGAGCUGGGGGAAAGUUGUGCAGGGGAAUCUAGACGGAACCGGGUGAGGAGGAAAAUUUGCACUGUUUCCUGCUGUUUCUCUGAGCUGACAUGUCCCAAACAAGGCUAAUUUCCCUGUCAGAGCUGUUUCCUCCUUUCCACCUCUCAGGGCUCGACCCUCUCAGUGCCAUCAUACUUUGUUCCUGGCGUCCCCUUAUCCCCUCCCUUCCUUGCUUUUAGUUGAUGGCCAAGUCUUGUGUCCCUGCCUCUGAAAUGCCUGAUCGGAAUAAAUGCUCCUCUUCCUGUUCCCACUGCUACUCCCUGAACUCUGGCUUCAUGGUCCUGGUUCAGUGCUAUUACCUGAGACCCCACACUGGCCUGGACACCCGCGUCUUUCCUCCUGAGGGUCCUCCACACGCCAUUGAACCGCACAUCUCUCUCUGUGCAGAAGCUGGAGGAAACAGGAAUGCUGGCGAUGAGAUCCUGUCGUUUGAAGAAAUAGAACUUGCCCAGUGAGCUAGAGACUUACACUCUAUGGCUGCUAGCGUGGGACAGUCGUGAUGGCACUACAGAAGGUCUCCCUUUUCUGACCCCCCUGUGUAUGCUGAGAACGGGGUGUACGAUCUCCCUUGGGGAAUGGAACAGUAAAGGUGAAGAGUGUGAUCUGAUGAGCAGAAGUUCAAAGGUAGUGGCUGCAAGGCCAAUUCGCUGCCGGGUGGGUGGGCCCAGGAAGAGUGGCAUGGCCAUGUCGCAGGUGGGAGUGGGAUGGUGUUUGGCUGCCCAUGUCAAAUGGACCCAUUUGCAACUCAGUCUUGAUUUUCAGUACAAAUGAAAAGUUGGCACCAAACCCUAAAAGGAUCUGAUUUCUGAUCUCUGGAUGACGUUCUCUUCUCUACUUGCUUCUCAUGCCAUCUCAGGAACAAAGUGCUGACAGGGACAGGCCUUCGUUCCCUCGCUCUCCAGUCAUGGCAAGCAGGUCAGCCUUCACCACCCGGACCCAGCCCAAGCCAACUUGCGUUGCUUGGCUUUCCACGGGCGCCCCCGAGCCCCGGCAGCUGUCAGAGGACAUCGGGGUCUUCUUGGGACUCCGUCUGCUCCCUCCCAGACACUGUUAGAACACGCCCAGCCUCCCGGAGCAGGAGAGAGGCUCCUCCUUAAGCUGUUUCUUCCCCAGUCCGGGACUCCAUCCCCAGAACGCGCCCUGUCUUUCUUGCAGGAUGUCCUUGCUAUUUCCACCAUUGCUCUUUGAGGGGACCAUGCCCAUGGCCAUGGCCUCCUCUUCUGAGCCCAGGGCGCCUGCUGAGAGUCAGCCUCCCUUUCUUGGCCCCCUGGCGGCACCCUGCAGAACUCACUCUCCCCAUGGCCCUCUGAGCACUUAAAUCUUUGCAGGUUGCUGGUCCAGCCCCCCACCUGUCACCCCAUGCUGCUGUGAUUCUGAGGCCCUGAGAGGAAAGGUUGCAUUUUGCUCCUGCCAUGGGUUUUGUGGCACCACCGGGCUGGGACCGGCUUGACCCAAAUUCCUGGUUUCCCUUCUGGACCUGUCGAUUCCUGCUCCUGCCCUUCGCAGGUUUGUUUCCUCUUCCUUGCCAGCCUGCUUGGGACUCAGUGUUUGCCUAGAUUCUCCAAACUCGUCAUCCCACUUUCUAAGAGAUUCCUCAGAAGACAUCUCACUGCGCUCGGCACCUUGUUCUGGAGCCUACUGGAUGCCUGGCUCUCCCUGCUCCAGACGACCGACCUCCUUGGGACUGGCCCAGUAUACCUUGGACCCAGUGACAUCCUCCGCGCAGAAACUCCAGCACAGGGGGUCCUCCAGAAGCAGAUGCAGAGACAGCUUAUUGAGCCACCCACCUCCGUGUCAAGUUGGACACUGCGUCCUGCAGCCUCGAACUCUCUGGUUUUCCCCUUUCCCAGUGUUCAGUCACCUGGUACAUGGGCGGAGGUCCCUCUGAGAAGGGCUGGGGGACCAUCCCAGUGUCUUCCCGCCAUGCCGCUGCAGCAUCCUUCCCCUGGGCGACCCGGCCACCUCCCUAGUCCAUGGUUCCAGGUCGGAAAGCUGCCUCAGGGGCAGAACCUGGGCAAGAGAUUGUGACUUGUUUGUCGGGCGGCUGACUUCGGCCUCUUGCUGUCUGUUUUUGCUCUUCUGAGUUUCCACUCUAGGCUGUAUCUUGGUCAGUCACCAUCCACGUGCCCCCAGGGAGGCCACGUGUACUGAGCACGGCCACCACUCUGUGGGUGAGGCCGCCUAGUCAGUGGUGUCCGUCAUCAUGAGCCUUCUGGUCCUUUAGCGCUGACCUGGGCCUCUGCUGCAGUUCCUGGGGCGGUGGGAGGUGUGGUCCCUUUCCUCCCAUUCCAGGCCUGGCAGGCCGUGCUCGUGUGCUCACCCUGGAUGGGGGCCUGGCAAUAGGCUGCCACUUCUUUCUGCUUUUCCUGGGACUCUCCCAGUUGCAGCACGUCCAGUCCCACAGCAAGUCGGGGUGGUUGGUCCCCCUCCCUCCAGGGAUGGAGGGCACCUGUGGGGAAGACCAGUGUAAUGGGAAGCCUAUUUUGUCAUGCUCUCAGCCACACGCGUUAGCUCUUAGUGAAAGUAGGCUACUCCCUUAAAAACUGCUCGAUGAUUUGAAGCUACUGUGUGAAUGCGGCUGAUAUGUGGGAGGGUGUUUCACCUUCUGCUCGGAUGGGAUGUUUAAGUACUUUAAAAAAAUAUCAGCUUUGAAAUUUCAGUAGUGGGAGUCAUUCCAGUCUAGGGUGUUUAUAGCAAUGUGGGCUGCUUUGUGUUCCUUAAAUUGCAUUAUAUACACCAAAAAGUCAUUCUUCA